UACGUAGGGCGCAAGCGUUGUCCGGAAUUAUUGGGCGUAAAGAGCUCGUAGGCGGCUUGUCGCGUCGGCUGUGAAAACUCGGGGCUCAACCCCGAGCCUGCAGUCGAUACGGGCAGGCUAGAGUCCGGCAGGGGAGACUGGAAUUCCUGGUGUAGCGGUGAAAUGCGCAGAUAUCAGGAGGAACACCGGUGGCGAAGGCGGGUCUCUGGGCCGGAACUGACGCUAAGGAGCGAAAGCGUGGGGAGCGAACAGG
rnacentral:rRNA from 1 species